rnacentral:rRNA from 1 species
UGCUGGAGGUAUCAGAAGUGCGAAUGCUGACAUGAGUAACGAUAAAGGGAGUGAAAAACUCCCUCGCCGGAAGACCAAGGGUUCCUGUCCAACGUUAAUCGGGGCAGGGUAAGUCGACUCCUAAGGCGAGGCCGAAAGGCGUAGUCGAUGGGAAACGGGUUAAUAUUCCCGUACUUCUUACAAUUGCGAUGGGGGGACGGAGAAGGCUAGGUGGGCCUGGCGACGGUUGUCCAGGUUCAAGUAUGUAGGCGGGUGGUUUAGGUAAAUCCGGACCGCUA